rnacentral:lncRNA from 1 species
UGCAAUUCGUAUCCAACAUAAUAUAAACAUAAAUCUAUCAAAAAUAUUUCCUAGAAAAUGGUUGACUUGCAACUUGAUCAAACACUCACAAUAGGAGGGGCCCACCUUUUUUUUUUUGGAGUUUUUAAUGCACGUGGGUCCCACAUGCAUUGUGAGUGUAGGUCAAUGAUUCUGUCAUGCAUUUUCUGUCAAGUUAGAUUAAUUCAAGUUAUAAUGUGAUUCGAAGGUCUACAGUACUCUAUAUGAUUCAUUAUUUGCAAGUUAGAAUUUAACCACAUGCAUCUUAUGCAUUUUAUCUAGAUUGGAAAGUUGUAAAUCUUGAAAGAAAACUAAAUUACACGCACGAAAUCUUCCUUUCUUUCCUUUCUAUUAUUUGGCUCUCGGCUUCUGCUUGUGGAUUUUAGAUCUCUCCUUUGCUUUGAGGUAAAUCAUAUAUGCACAUCCUAGACCAAUUCAAAUAUGCCUACUUAACAAGUAAUUAUACUAAGUUCUUGGUAAAGCUUUCAUUUGUUAAAAAAAAUAUUAAAUUUUGUUUUUAAUCAGACAUUUUAUUGGAUCCAUAACUUUCAUUCACUUUUCAAGUGCACAUUUCAUAAAUUUAUCAAAUUUUUAUCAACUUUGAGUAACAUCACAAAUUCCCUAAAUCAUGGUCGAAUUAAAUCCUAUCGAAUUUAAGCCAAUCAAAUAAACAGUUAGUGGCUUGGUGUGAUUAGGAUUUGAUAACUCUAAUUUUCUGUAUGAAAUCACUUUAAUUUAGGAUAAAAUCUAGACAAGUUCACUUUGGACUACCUUUUUUAUUUUUUAUUUUAUUUCUUU